GACGAACGCUGGCGGCGUGCUUAACACAUGCAAGUCGAGCGGAAAGGCCACUUCGGUGGUACUCGAGCGGCGAACGGGUGAGUAACACGUGAGUAAUCUGCCCCUGGCUUUGGGAUAGCCACCGGAAACGGUGAUUAAUACCGGAUACGACCACUUCUCGCAUGGGAUGGUGGUGGAAAGUUUUUUCGGCCAGGGAUGUGCUCGCGGCCUAUCAGCUUGAUGGUGAGGUAAUGGCUUACCAUGGCUCCGACGGGUAGCCGGCCUGAGAGGGUGACCGGUCAAACGGGGACUGAGACACGGCCAGGACUCCUACGGGAGGCAGCAGUGGGGAAUAUUGGACAAUGGGCGGAAGCCUGAUCCAGCAACGCCGCGUGAGGGAUGACGGCCUUCGGGUUGUAAACCUCUUUCAGCAGGGACGAAGCGCAAGUGACGGUACCUGCAGAAGAAGCACCGGCCAACUACGUGCCAGCAGCCGCCGUAA
rnacentral:rRNA from 1 species